CCCCCAACCAAACUUUUGGAAACUACCAGUAGUUAUCUUGGAAAAUAGGCUCGGAGGCACGAAUUGUAAAGAUAUUCUACUUUAAAAACAUUCUGUAGCAAUACUCAAAACUCGUGGUUGGUGGGUUAGCACUGUGUUCUCCCUGGGGCAGAGUCCAGGCUUCCUGUGAAUGUGUAAAUUACAGAACUCUCGGUUCCCAAAGCUAGAACCUGUUUUUCUUGUUAGCCUUCGUGUAACCAGAUGCUCUGUUGUACCUUCAUAGCUGGAAGUGUUUCAAGAUGAGCUUCAGAAGCAAACCUGAAGCUUCAUCUUCACAAUGGCAUGCUGACUGCUCUGACCUGGCACUGCGGGUCCUAAGCACAUAUGUGGAAUCCCUGUUGGCCCUAGUCCCCGCGCCCCUGCCCCCCUUGCCCCGUGAGGACUCCACUUUAUAGCCUAAACCUUUUAUACAAAAGCUUUGGAUACUGUGAAGAUGUUUUACAUUCCAUUUCGUUCGUGUUGUUUUUUUUUUUUAACUACAUUUGACCAGAUGUUUUGAUGUUAUCACUUAUGUUAAUAGUAAUUCCCAGAUGUGUUUUGUUCUCAUUGCUUUCCCUGCCGUGUAUUCACUAAAAUCACUCGAUCAAUAACAGUGUGAGUUGUGAUUGGCCCAA
rnacentral:lncRNA from 1 species